rnacentral:lncRNA from 1 species
UGGGCAGGAAAGGGGAUUAUUCUGAAAAGAUGAUAGCAGGUUAGUAGGGAGGCAGAUGCAACCUCAUUUCCCAAGGGAAGGAACACGCAGCCCAGGAAGAGAACACAAAGCUCGGACCCAUGUAAAACAGCUGGAUUCAGGAAGAUGGCUCAGGGAUAAAGACACUUUCUGCCAAACUUGAUGACCUAAAUUCCAUUCCCAGGCCCCACACGGUAGGAGAGAACUGACUCCCCCAAGUUGUCCUCUGACAUCCACAUCAGUGCUACGGUCUACACCUCCCCCUCAAAAGAAAUUGUGUAGCAGUGACACGCAUCUGCAAUCACAGCUCUUCUGCAGCCUGGAA